UACAGAGGUGGCAAGCGUUGUUCGGAAUUACUGAGCGUAAAGGGCGCGUAGGCGGUCCGAUAAGUCCCGUGUGAAAUCCCUCGGCUCAACUGAGGAACCGCACGGGAAACUGCCGGGCUUGAGUUCGGGAGAGGGAAGCGGAAUUCCGGGUGUAGCGGUGAAAUGCGUAGAUAUCCGGAGGAACACCGGUGGCGAAGGCGGCUUCCUGGACCGACACUGACGCUGAGGCGCGAAAGCUAGGGGAGCAAACAGG
rnacentral:rRNA from 1 species